rnacentral:sRNA from 1 species
CCAUUGACCGGGCUUCAGCUAAGCUCUGGCCGUUUGAAGCUGACACUAUCGCGCCGAUCGAUGUCUCAGCCGGGGGAAGAUAAAGCGACGAGCAUCUUGGGACGUUUUCAACAUCUGAGGAGAAUAAUAUGAACAAGAAUUGAAUCCACAAUGCUUCUAUUGUGUUCUCAAUGAAUAUCCAGAGGAUGUUAUGCAGAGAUUAUCUGCCAGGCCCAAGAUUCAGAAAAGUUUAAAAUGAAGAGAACAAUGGACUCUGGGCGGGAAAAAUGUGACAAAGCCAACAUCAUUUUGCAGAUAGACUAGACACUCCCUUUGUGUUCUCCAGGCUUCUGUGCAUUGGUUUGCAUGCCAGUAUAUGCAUGCAUUUCCCCGGGGAUUCCCAGAGAGGAUUGCAAUAAUGGCCUGCAUCAGGGGAGAGGAAGAAAGAGCGAGAGAAACAAACCACGAGAUGAUCUCAUGGGGGUGAAGGAGGGUUGAAAAUGUUGCUUAGUUCAACGUAAAGAAUCCUCUUCUAUGCUUCCAAAUAAGUAUUCUCGUUGAAUCGAAGAUUUACGAUGCAGGCUGAGCGAAAAGUAGAGGGGAUUUGAUGAUCUAUCACAUGUACAGCAGCUUGAUCAAUGGAGUGGAGAUAACACUCUAACCCUGUUAAUGCACUGGAGUGGACA